UUGUUGAAUAAAGUGACUGACGAUUUA
rnacentral:sRNA from 1 species